AACUGUGGUAAUUCUAGAGCUAAUACAUGCACUUAUAUCCAGACCUCACGGAAUGGAUGCAGUUAUUAGAAUAAAACCAAGCAGGCUUGCCUGCCAUUUGGUGAAUCUGAAUAACCCAGUGAUCGCACGGUCUUUGCACCGGCGACGUAUCCUUCAAAUGUCUGCCUUAUCAACCGUCGAUGGUAGUUUAUGCGCCUACCAUGGUUGUUACGGGUAACGGAGAAUUAGGGUUCGACUCCGGAGAGGGAGCCUGAGAAAUGGCUACCACAUCUAAGGAAGGCAGCAGGCACGCAAAUUACCCACUCUUGGUACGAGGAGGUAGUGACGAAGAAUAACAGGACGGCCUCUUAUUGAGGCCCGUCACUGGAAUGAGUACAGUUUAAAUCCUUUAACGAGGAUCUAUUGGAGGGCAAGUCUGGUGCCAGCAGCCGCGGUAAUUCCAGCUCCAAUAGCGUAUAUUAAAGUUGUUGCGUUUAAAAAGCUCGUAGUUGAAUCUGCGUCUUUUGGUUGGCGGUCCCUUAACAGGUGUACUGCUUUACCAGGACCAAUUAUCUGGUUUUCUCUUGAUGCUCUUCAUUGAGUGUCUUGAGUGACUGGAGAGUUUACUUUGAAAAAAUCAGAGUGCUCAAAGCAGGCUUAUAGCCUGAAUGGUGGUGCAUGGAAUAAUGGAAUAAGACUUCGGUUUUAUUUUCAUGUCUUUGGAAUCUUCGGGAAUGGCUCAUUACAACAGCACUUACCCCCUGGAUCCGUGCAAACGGGACUGCUUCCAGCGAGCGGCAUU
rnacentral:rRNA from 1 species